GAGAAGGUGGAGGAGAAAGGGGAUUCCAAUAUGGCACCAUGUUUGUGAUUUUGACCCCGAUGCAGAUGGUGAUUCCAUUCACUGAGAAGAAGGGAACGCAGGGAGGGCUGGAAGUUUGGUGGAAGGAGGGAGAGAAGACAGUGAACUCUGUUUUGGACAGACUUGCUGAGAUUGGGGGUGGAGGUUUCCACUAGGCAGCCGGGUGUGUGGAACUCCAGUAGGCUGGAAUGAAGCUAUAGCAACAAAUGAGAGCCCUGCUGGAGAGUGUCUGACAUCACAGGGUCCAGAACUGAAGCUGGCAUGGAGGAAUAUGUUUAAGGGAGGGUCAGCGGAAGAAAAGCCUGUCACUCAAAGAGUUGUUAAAUGACACCACAAAAGACAUAAUAAGCAAAACCCACAAAAUGUUAAACUCUUUUAGUUGGGAUUCAGCCAAAAUGACCACCCUCUGUUAAUGCAGAAUUUCUGUUUACAGGCCAGGUUGGCACUUGCUGGUUUCUGAAGAGGAAAAUGCAGCGCGCAGCCACGGUGAAAGGCUCCGAAAUGGUUUCACGGAGACGACGACCCGGCCGCCCUGCCUCUCGCAGCGCGCUCACCCUACGGCCGCCGACCACGGGGCUGCUGCUUGAGUGUGAGUAUAUCAGGAUGAUGCGGCUGCAAGUAACAAAGAAUCAAACAAGAGUGGCGUAAACAAAGAAGAAAAUUUAUUAUCUCAUACUACAAGAAGUUUGGGGGUUGAGUGGUUAAAAGGGUUGAUUAAUUUAGCAACUUAACAGUAACAUCUGGGACCCAUUUUCCCUAUGGUAGCUACCGGCCCUCAUCCUUCAGGCUGAGAGAUCACUGCAUCACUGCAGCAAAGAUUUUCCCGCACAGCAGAGUUUCAGGACUGGAGAGGGGGCCUCCUUCCUUCUAUCCCUUUCUGGAAGUUCUGCAGAAGACUUCCCUUCAUGUCACAUUCCAUUCCUAUACUGGUCACUAAUAGCGGAAUGGAUUUACCAUGCUGGCUAUUAAUUAAGAGUCACCCUAAGACCAUAAAGAGGCCCAGUCUCUGGAGAGCAUUCUGCUGCUCAGUACCAAGCAAACCUGGUACCCCGGCAAGGAAAAGGCGGAUGGUAUCUACUGGGUUCGACAGCAGUGUCUGCCACGAGCAGCAUGUCCUUCUGGGGAGAACCAUGGGGGUGCUGUGUGGUUCUGUGUCUUCUCUGUCUUCUGCCUUUGUCUUUCCAAUUAGGUAAGAGUCAUCCUUGUUCCUCUUUGUGGCUUUCCUCCUUGCCAGCAUAACCCAAGUUUUGUGCGGAUACAAGGGGCAAUAUGCUAAAAGAGGAUGUCCAAGGCCUUGGUGAUAAACUAGCCACGGGUCUAACAGUCAAGGUCAUCCCAACUCCAUCUGCCAAUGAACGGUUUUGGAAUGUCCAUGUCACCCCGCUCUGGUCGCUGAGAUGGAAGACAAGUUCUCUGGAGGGGUUUCUGGGAAAGGUUUUUCCCCCUGGUCAAACGGGAGAUGAACAAGAGGUCUGCUACCCAACGUGCUUUCUGCCUUUGAGCAGCCGCCUUGUCACAGCCUUGAGUGGAAACACUCCUCAUAAACAGGACGGCAGAGCAGAGAGGCAGAAAGGGCCUGAGUCUUAUGGAUGCUACCAGCAGUUGAAUCUACGCGAGGACUGCUUACCUUCAGACUUCUCCUUAGGAAAGAGAGCAAGAAACCCCAUUUGUUGAAGCCAUUUGUAGGUGGCUGUUGCUACCUGCUUCCUGAUGGGUAAUCUUUCUAGGAACAUAACUCCCAAAACCCUUUAUUGUGAUACACAUAUUUGUAAACUUUUCUUUCUUUUCCUUCUCUUUUUAAAAAAAAAUAGCUGAAGUCUGCCUUAGGCAAAAA